CCCCUAGAUGUUCUGGGCCGCACGCGCGCUACACUGAUGCAUUCAACGAGUCUAAAACCUGCUCUGAUAGGGGUGGGUAAUCUUUUGAAUGUGCAUCGUGAUUGGGAUAGAUGAUUGCAAUUUUUCAUCUUCAACGAGGAAUGCCUAGUAAACGCAAGUCAUCAGCUUGCAUUGAUUACGUCCCUGCCCUUUGUACACACCGCCCGUCGCUCCUACCGAUUGAAUGAUCCGAUGAAUAUCAUGGAUUGAGGAUUAUAGCAGGUUCGCCUGUCUUGAUCUUCGAGAAGUGAAGUAAAUCUUAUCAUUUAGAGGAAGGAGAAGUCGUAACA
rnacentral:rRNA from 1 species